UCUUACACGCACGUCACUCUGGU
rnacentral:miRNA from 1 species